GCCAUGAGUUAAACACAAAGCGAACUAUUCUUUUGCCUUUUACUAAAGAAUACCGAUUAUUUGGUAUGUUGAGACCAUGAAUUGAAGAUUUUUGAAGACCUUAUAAUCAUCAGCAG